rnacentral:misc_RNA from 1 species
GGAAGUUAAUUAUAUGUAAAAAAUCUAUUAGUUGUAAAUCGAUCAUCUCAACUAGGUAGUUGAUUUUUAACAUUAAAAACUUAGAGAAAACAACUAACAAAAUUAAAACUUAAAAGCUCUCUUCAUCAUUGAAAGCUAUCAAACACGAAAUAUAUGAUGCUUCUGCCUUGUAAUUCAGGUGAUCAUUGCUCCUUUGAAGGCUAGACUCUAGAUAUGCGAAACUUUUGAUUAAACAAACGUCGCAGAAGAUAGACCUGAAGGACACUGGCCCCAAUUAAGGCAGCUGAUUCAAACAUUGCCUUGUGCAAUGCCCUCCUGCUCAUUUUAUCAUUCACUGCAAAUUCAUUCACAUGAUAAGAAGGUUAAUAUACUUGCAAGGUCUUUUCUAUAUAUCUUAUAGGUUUGAAAAACAGUACCCAGUGCCUGGCGGUCAGUCUGAGCCUCUAGCCAGUGUUGUUCAAAUUGAAUAUUAUAAAGAGCUUCCUCCAACUUUGAUAUCUGCUCCAUCAAAGGGGCUAAAUGCUCAUCUUUUGCAUGUUGAUCAUAAAACGUGAAGUGUCCAAGAUGCACAUCAAAAUCAAUAGUUAUAAGAUAAGGAGACUUGUUUGUGAAACAGAAGUGGUAAAGCCCUUUCUUGUACACCACAAACUCAUACUUUUCACUGGUUUUAUCAUGAAAUUUAUGAAGUAGAUCGCCUGAAGGCCCCUUUAUCAGGAGAUCAACACCUUGAUCGGAAUCAGUGAAAUGCCAAGAGGAAUCAGCCUCAAUGACGACGAAAGAGAUAUGAAGAGUGUCACCUUCCGUUGCUACCUUGUGAGAGACGCAUUCUUCUUUGUCUAUCACGAAUCUAAUCCCACAUGUCCUUUCCAUCCUCCAUAGCAUCGCCAUUAUUACCACUGCUGCGUAUCUCAACACCCACUUCUCCAUCUCCUAAAAGACCAAAUCUUUUUAAUUUGUUGAUAUCUCUGAUGGGUAUUUACUGUAUAGAAAUUUUCAUUUCAGAUCCACAGCAAGUGAUGAGAAAAUACCAUUUUAAGUUCUUUGAGAAAUCUGAG